rnacentral:rRNA from 1 species
UACUCGAGUGGCGAACGGGUGAGUAACACGUGGGUGAUCUGCCCUGCACUUCGAGAUAAGCUUGGGAAACUGGGUCUAAUACCGGAUAGGAACCAUCUUUAGUGUGGUGGUUGGAAAGUUUUUUCGGUGUAGGAUGAGCUCGCGGCCUAUCAGCUUGUUGGUGGGGUAAUGGCCUACCAAGGCGGCGACGGGUAGCCGGCCUGAGAGGGUGUACGGCCACAUUGGGACUGAGAUACGGCCCAG